rnacentral:lncRNA from 1 species
UUCUGUGAUAUAAUUUUUGAAAUAUUUAUGUGGUACGGAUUCUAACUUGUGAUUAUUUGCAGUGUCUUUGAUCAAACCAACUUCCUCGGAAGUAAAAGACUUGGAAGAUUUCUUGGCGGGGAGGAUUACUGAUGCAAAUGAAGAACUCCCUAAUGAGGAGCCUUCCCGAACUGAACCCCCUGCCCCCGAACCAACAACAACCCCUCUUCGGGAUGAUGACCCUGAAGCUGACAAUCCCAUCAUCCCCGAAGAGGUCCUCCGACCUCGCCGAAGGAAGAAGGCUGCCAAAAAGGCCAGGACUC